rnacentral:rRNA from 1 species
GAACGCUGGCGGCAUGCCUUACACANGCAAGUCGAACGGCAGCACGGGAGCAAUCCUGGUGGCGAGUGGCGAACGGGUGAGUAAUAUAUCGGAACGUGCCCAGUCGUGGGGGAUAACGUAGCGAAAGCUACGCUAAUACCGCAUACGAUCUAUGGAUGAAAGCGGGGGAUCGCAAGACCUCGCGCGAUUGGAGCGGCCGAUAUCAGAUUAGGUAGUUGGUGAGGUAAAGGCUCACCAAGCCGACGAUCUGUAGCUGGUCUGAGAGGACGACCAGCCACACUGGGACUGAGACACGGCCCAGACUCCUACGGGAGGCAGCAGUGGGGAAUUUUGGACAAUGGGCGCAAGCCUGAUCCAGCAAUGCCGCGUGCAGGAUGAAGGCCUUCGGGUUGUAAACUGCUUUUGUACGGAACGAAACGGUGAGCUCUAAUACAGUUUGCUAAUGACGGUACCGUAAGAAUAAGCACCGGCUAACUACGUG